GCAACAUUGACGCAACGUAUAAAUGCUGGAACAAAAGGACAACUUCCUUGAAGCUUGGCGUAAUUGCAACAACAACAACAAAAAAAGCGAGAGAGAAAGAGAGAGAGAGAGAACGAGAGAGAUACGGGUGCCUUGGCUGGCAGCGCUAACGGAAAGCCCGGCAGUCUAGUGGAAUAUUACGGCAUUGUUAUUAUUUGCUGUUAUUAUUUAUUUUCCCGCGCGGCUCCACGGUUCGACGUGCACGUCACAAUGGGCUUCGCGGUGCGUUCCAGCUCCGCCAGCGCUCCAAUCAAAGGGAAUGGUUACACACACCGCAAAGGACGGCAGUGUCUCAGAAUCGUGCCAAUGGUUGGCACAUCGACGUCCCCCCCGGUUCGCGCUCUGCUGCGCGAGCGUGUCUGUCCUUUUUUUUCGGUC